rnacentral:tRNA from 1 species
GCCUGGCUGGCUCACUCCAUAAAGUAUAUGACUCUUGAUCUCAGGGUCGUGAGUUCAAGUCCCACGCUGGGCA